UACGUAGGGUGCAAGCGUUGUCCGGAAUUAUUGGGCGUAAAGAGCUUGUAGGCGGUUUGUCGCGUCUGCUGUGAAAUUUCGGGGCUCAACCCCGAACUUGCAGUGGGUACGGGCAGACUAGAGUGUGGUAGGGGAGACUGGAAUUCCUGGUGUAGCGGUGAAAUGCGCAGAUAUCAGGAGGAACACCGAUGGCGAAGGCAGUUCUCUGGGCCAUAACUGACGCUGAGAAGCGAAAGCAUGGGGAGCGAACAGG
rnacentral:rRNA from 1 species